AUUGAACGCUGGCGGCAUGCCUUACACAUGCAAGUCGAACGGUAACAGGUCUUCGGAUGCUGACGAGUGGCGAACGGGUGAGUAAUACAUCGGAACGUGCCCGAGAGUGGGGGAUAACGAAGCGAAAGCUUUGCUAAUACCGCAUACGAUCUCAGGAUGAAAGCAGGGGACCGCAAGGCCUUGCGCUCACGGAGCGGCCGAUGGCAGAUUAGGUAGUUGGUGGGAUAAAAGCUUACCAAGCCGGCGAUCUGUAGCUGGUCUGAGAGGACGACCAGCCACACUGGGACUGAGACACGGCCCAGACUCCUACGGGAGGCAGCAGUGGGGAAUUUUGGACAAUGGGCGCAAGCCUGAUCCAGCCAUGCCGCGUGCAGGAUGAAGGCCUUCGGGUUGUAAACUGCUUUUGUACGGAACGAAAAGACUCCUUCUAAUAAAGGGGGUCCAUGACGGUACCGUAUGAAUAAGCACCGGCUAACUACGUGCCAGCUGCCGCAGUAACAC
rnacentral:rRNA from 1 species